UCUCCCCCUUUCCUCUCCCCUACCCCCCUUAUAGCUCUUCUGUCUCUCUCUCUCUCUCUGCGACACUGUGGUGUGGUAGGUAGAUUAUAUCUCUCUCUGCGACACUGUGGUGUGGCAGGUAGAUUAUGUCUCUCUCUGCAGCACUGUGGUGUGGUAGGUAGAUUAUGUCUCUCUCUGCAGCACUGUGGUGUGGUAGGUAGAUUAUGUCUCUCUCUGUGGCACUGUGGUGUGGUAGGUAGAUUAUAUCUCUCUCUGCAGCACUGUGGUGUGGUAGGUAGAUUAUAUCUCUCUCUGUGGCACUGUGGUGUGGUAGGUAGAUUAUGUCUCUCUCUGUGGCACUGUGGUGUGGUAGGUAGAUUAAAUCUCCUCUCUCUGCAGCACUGUGGUGUAGUAGGUAGAUUAAGUCUCUCUGGUUUGAUUGGUCAAGUAAAAGUAGUGCUUACAGAAUAAGGUGCAUAUUUUGUUUUUAAAUAGCUGGUAUCUAUUCAUGUUUAUUAGACAUUUCAAUCUUAUUACAAGUUACAUUGUUUUUGUUUUAUAUAUUUGUUUUCUGCAAUAACAACAACCGUUGUAGCUGCAUUUACUGCUGGUCCAGUUAGACUCCAUGUUAAUAUGUAGUGUUCUUCAGUAAAAUCCAUGUUAAUAUGUAGUAUUCUUCAGUUCUCUCUGGUAGCAACCAGCUAGCGACACAGAGGACAGCCUCCGGACAGGCCUUCUGUACUCUUCUAUAUGAUCAGUUUGGAUUCUAAUCUAUAACAAUAAUAUGUUUUCCGCAACGUUAACGUAAUCGUUCUAUAGCGUUAUUGAUAAUCCCUGGAUGCUACUGCGUUUUUUUUGGUUUUGGCAUGACUGAAAAUAGCAUUAACGCAACAAACCAGCCGGCGAGAUCGACCCAGAGUCGACCUUUUAUGAUAACCUUUUUUUUUUCUUCAUUUCGUGUUUUCCAUGUCGUCGUUGUUUCUACUUCUCUGAUGAACAACUGUGGGUGUGUAGCGGUAUGCAUCUUAUGAGCACAAGAUGUUGAAAAUAAGUCUUUCAAACUAUUUUGCUCACUGGGUAGAUAGGCAGCUGCAGCUUGUGAAACAAACUUGUUUUACUAACUCCUGUACCAAGGCAGCAGACAUUCCUUCCUAUAGGGAACCUAGGACAGGUGUUGCAUUCGUAUCAGUAUUAGUAUAGCUACUAACUUAGUAACAGAAAGGUGGUGAUUUAGUGUUGCAACAUUGCUGAAACUUUCCCUGAAAAUUCCUUGAUUUUUCCAGGAAAUCCUGGUUGGAAAAUCCACAAAUCUUCCAAGCAACCAGAAUUGAUAGAACACCUGAGAAUUUUGGGGGAUGUAACCGUAAUGUGCAAAUCUAGUGGUGAAGGUGACAGAACAUGGUUAAAGCUCUAGGGUUGAUGAAGCACUGUCUAUACAGCUCCUAUAUGCCCUUACAUUCCAUCAUCCCAAGUCAAAUCUAUAGGUUCUGUAACUACAUCCAAGGCUACACGUCCUACAUGAAACCCUAUUCCCAAUGUAAAGCGGCACACUUUGUCUGGCCACAAUUAGUGCAUAAGGAUUAGGGAUGUCAUUAGGGACGGAGCCUAAACCACAUUCUCUCAGAGACCGGAUCCAGCUGCACCUAAACCAUAUUCUCUCAGAGACCGGAUCCAGCUGAACCUAAACCACAUUCUCUCAGAGACCGGAUCCAGCUGCACCUAAACCAUAUUCUCUCAGAGACCGGAUCCAGCUGAACCUAAACCAUAUUCUCUCAGAGACCGGAUCCAGCUGAACCUAAACCAUAUUCUCUCAGAGACCGGAUCCAGCUGAACCUAAACCAUAUUCUCUCAGAGACCGGAUCCAGCUGAACCUAAACCAUAUUCUCUCAGAGCUGAUCCAGCUGCUAGUCAGUUGAUGUUAUUAUUAUUGACUUUAAUCUGAGUUCAGAUUUAAACAAAAACUAAUGUAUAGUCAAAGAUGACUGGUUGAUUUUCACUUUGUACUUUCGGUAAAUGUUAUGAGAGAACUAAAACGUUGAUAAUGUCCUUUAAAAUAAUUGUCAUUUAUAAUGUGCAUGAACAGAAAGGGAAGGGGCGUAGUGUCAAGAGGUCAUUUCAUUAUAAAAACGUGUCACUACCAUAGCACUAGGGUCGCACAUUUCUGGUGACCUGAGAAUUAUCAUUUCUUUGGAGGCUCUUACUCGUUCUGCUAUGGCAACACAAUGCCCUACACGCUGUAGGAAAAUCACUUAAUAAAAAAACAACUUUUUAUAUAUAGUUAAUUAUGAGACCAUCAUUACGCUGUGCGUAACGAUUGUACAGAGAAAAUUGUAGGUAUUUUUUGAGGAUCAAUUUGUUUAAUGACAUGUAGCUAUUUAAUUUUCCCCCUUUUUUUUGUUUGUGUAUGAAAUAAAUGUUUUAAAAAGUUGAUCUUUUUUUUGUUUUUAGAGUUGUUCUUUUAAAAGGUUAAAGUGCAGGAACACAGUAAUAAUAUAAACACUGCGUUGAUGCUAGCCACUUGUGUAUUAUGACGCAUAAUGUGUAUAAUGCUGAAUCAAGGCUACUCAUCAGACACUCUACAAAAGGUAUAUCCCAAAUGACAGUCUAUUCCCUUUAUAGUACACUACCAGAGGACAAAAGUAGUGCACUAAAUAGGGAAUAGGGGGGGGGUCAUUCGGGACAAUGAUUUUUUAUUUUGAGACAAUGGAACAAAAGAUCUUUGUCGUCCAUCUUGUUUGUGAGAUCCGAACACUACUGUAUUAGUCAUGUUAUUUAAUGGUAGAUCACAGGAAGACUGGCUGUGUGCUUCCAAAUCAACAGCUGUGUCCUAAGUAGCACCCUUCUCUCAAAAGUAGUGCACUAUACAGGGAAUAUACCGUUGAAGUCAAAAGUUUACAUACACCUUAGCCAAAUAUAUUUAAACUCAGUUUUUCCACAAUUCCUGAAAUUGAAUCCUAGUAAAAAAUUCCACGGUCA
rnacentral:lncRNA from 13 species